rnacentral:rRNA from 1 species
GGAGGGUGCAAGCGUUAUCCGGAUUUAUUGGGUUUAAAGGGUACGUAGGCGGCAGAGUCAGUCAGUGGUGAAAGCCAGCAGCUUAACUGUUGAAUUGCCAUUGAUACUGCUUUGCUUGAGUGCAGUCGAGGUAGGCGGAAUUCCACAUGUAGUGGUGAAAUGCAUAGAUAUGUGGAGGAACGCCGAUAACGAAGGUAGCUUACUAGGCUGCUACUGACGCUGAGGUACGAAAGCGUGGGGAGCGAACGGGAUUAGAGACCCGGUAGUCCACGCCGUAAACGAUGGUCACUCGAUGUAUAUCCUUAGGGAUAUGUGUCCAAGCGAAAGCGUUAAGUGACCCCACCUGGGAGUACGCUCGCAAGAGUG